AGGCCCAUAGCCAAGCGGUAAGGCAUCGGAUUUUGAUUCCGUGAUCGUAGGUUCGAAUCCUGCUGGGCCUGCCA
rnacentral:tRNA from 1 species